GUAACGAACUCCUCCGCGUCGCGGUCACCUAAUCUCUCAGGUUUAAGGUUAUUUUACAGACAGAGUCUUGAUUCAUCGAAGAACUUACUAAUACGCUUAACUGCGUCUGGCACCACUUUCGGCGACGCUUCGUAAAUUAACUGGUCGCAUGGAAGUUCGCACUUUAAAAUAAAACGUAAAUAAAAGGAAUACCUACCAUCUUAAUGGCAACCUCCAAACCUGUGUUUACAGAUCUGGCUUUGUAAACACAAGCAAACGACCCCUUCCCCAGCAGGGACACUCUGCGACAACCCAGAGGGAAUAAAGAAAGAAUUAACAACGAGGAAGAUAAAGGUGAUAUUGUGAAGAGGAGACAGACGGCCCAUUGAUGGUGGAUCCAGGGGACGUUUCCAGGUGGAUGGCGUGUGUUUCGUUGGCCUCGGGG